rnacentral:rRNA from 1 species
GCAGAACGCGAAGAACCUUACCAAGGCUUGACAUGGAUUUCUAAGCACGUGAAAGCGUGUGACCCUUCGGGGGACUUCCACAGGUGCUGCAUGGCCGUCGUCAGCUCGUGUCGUGAGAUGUUGGGUUAAGUCCCGCAACGAGCGCAACCCUUGUGAACAGUUGCCAGCGCGUCAUGGCGGGAACUCUGUUCAGACUGCCCAGAUCAACUGGGAGGAAGGUGGGGACGACGUCAGGUCAGUAUGGCCCUUACGCCUUGGGCUGCACACGUACUACAAUGCCCAGCACAAUGAGAACCUAUGCCGCGAGGUGGAGGAAAUCUGCAAAACUGGGCUCAGUUCGGAUUGGAGGCUGCAACUCGCCUCCAUGAAGUUGGAAUCGCUAGUAAUGGGGCAUCAUCUACGGCCCCGUGAAUACGUUCCCGGGUCUUGUACACACCG